GAUGAACGCUGGCGGCGUGCUUAACACAUGCAAGUCGAACGAUGAAGCCGGAGCUUGCUCCGGUGGAUUAGUGGCGAACGGGUGAGUAACACGUGAGCAAUCUGCCCUUGACUCUGGGAUAACUGCGGGAAACUGUAGCUAAUACCGGAUACGACACCUUGGGGCAUCCCAGGGUGUGGAAAGAAUUUCGGUCAAGGAUGAGCUCGCGGCCUAUCAGCUAGUUGGUGAGGUAAUGGCUCACCAAGGCGACGACGGGUAGCCGGCCUGAGAGGGUGACCGGCCACACUGGAACUGAGACACGGUCCAGGCUCCUACGGGAGGCAGCAGUGGGGAAUAUUGCACAAUGGGCGAAAGCCUGAUGCAGCAACGCCGAGUGAGGGAUGAAGGCCUUCGGGUUGUAAACCUCUUUUAGUAGGGAAGAAGCGAAAGUGACGGUACCUGCAGAAAAAGCACCGGCUAACUACGUGCCAGCCGCCGCGGUAA
rnacentral:rRNA from 1 species